UUUUUUUUUUUUUUUUGAAACCAAUAGCCGACUAGCCAGGUAAUCUCUUCGCUAGAUUCCGAUGAGUAAGGUAUUUCCGAUCAGUUUCGAAUAGCCGAAGCUCGCACACUCUCGUCCAGGAUAGACCAAUCCUCUCCGAGGUGGGACAAAGUAGUGUUCCAUCGAGUUACCAUGAUUGUUGCACUCGGUACGUCAUUGUUAUGAUGGUAUCAGUUAGUUGGGAGUGCAAUGCAUUCGAGUCUUUUGCUUUCAGUUCACAGCGAACAACGUGCACAUGCUCAUUGGAGCCACCGUCUGCCAAAACGUACUUGCCCAACUGAUAAACUGAUAUCCGUGCAAGAGCACCGGGUCCAUAAUCCCAUAUCCUCACCCAGUAUAUUCUCUUCUUGGAGCAGCCAGUGCUGGAGCUCUCCGGAGCAGCGAGACCCACCCAUAUCUAACCGCCUAUAUGUAGACUGCCAAAAAACUGAUAAGAUUAUGGGUAUAUCUAGGUGGCGGGCACCUCAGCUGACUAAUCGACGGUGGCCGGGGUACAUUUUGAGCGACAUUUCGAUGGCAUGUUUCCCACUUGGGUUGGGUUCACUGUAGCGCAGAGCGAAAGAUAUAUACAUGUAUAUCCAUCCAGCCGUUCGUCACCAUGAUCGAGAGUUCACAUUGGGCUCUCGCGAGCGAAUAAGCCCGCGGUUUUGCCAUUAGUCGAAGAGAUAAUGUCGAUAACAACAAUCUUAUCGCUCAGCAUUGAACGGACUUCACAUACGAACACAUGAGGCUUACGGACAAGCCUAUCUGAAAUCGUGCAACUUCCACCUUGACUCACUCAUCCCAAAAGCGAAUGUUCCAUGACCGAUGAAACUCAACAUGAGUCAAAGCUUUCAUUUCUGAGGAGAUAUUAAGUGAGUACUGUAAGUUUUGAAUGACAAACGUAUGAUAUGAUAACCAAUUACAUGAACUUUGGAGCAAUAGAAAGACUAUCCAACAAGAGGCAUUCGUGGAGAAUCAAGAUCUUAAGCAUGAGCUAGCAAUGUAGGAUAAACCAACGUGGCGUAUGAGUAAUACUUGAAACAUAUCUAAUGUUUCAAGCAACCUCCAUAUUUUCCCAAUUAAU